ACUCCUACGGGAGGCAGCAGUGGGGAAUAUUGCACAAUGGGCGCAAGCCUGAUGCAGCGACGCCGCGUGAGGGAUGACGGCCUUCGGGUUGUAAACCUCUUUCAGUAGGGACGAAGCGAAAGUGACGGUACCUACAGAAGAAGGACCGGCCAACUACGUGCCAGCAGCCGCGGUAAUACA
rnacentral:rRNA from 1 species